rnacentral:rRNA from 1 species
UACGUAGGGGGCUAGCGUUAUCCGGAAUGAUUGGGCGUAAAGCGUCCGCAGGUGGCUGUGUAAGUCUGCUGUUAAAGAGUCUAGCUCAACUAGAUACAAGCAGUGGAAACUACACGGCUAGAGUACGUUCGGGGCAGAGGGAAUUCCUGGUGUAGCGGUGAAAUGCGUAGAGAUCAGGAAGAACACCCGUGGCGAAGGCGGCUCUCUGGGACGGUACUGACGCUGAGACGCGAAAGCGUGGGGAGCGAACAGG